rnacentral:rRNA from 1 species
GCAUAUCAAUAAGCGGAGGAAAAGAAAAUAACAAUGAUUCCCCUAGUAACUGCGAGUGAAGAGGGACAAGCUCAAAUUUUAAAUCUAUCGGGUUUUACCUGAUCGAGUUGUAAUUUGAAGAAGCGUUUUCUGCGUUUUUGGUCAGCUCAAGUCCUAUUGAAUGAGGCAUCAUGGAGGGUGAUAAUCCCGUCCGGUUGAUCAUUUGCGUUUUACGAUACGCUCUCUAAGAGUCAAGUUGUUUGGGAUUGCAGCUUAAAAUGGGAGGUAAAUUUCUCCUAAGGCUAAAUAACGGCGAGAGACCGAUAGCGAACAAGUACCGUGAGGGAAAGAUGAAAAGAACUUUGAAAAGAGAGUUAAACAGUACGUGAAAUUGUUGAAAGGGAAACGAUUGAAGCCAGUCGUACCUUCGGGUAAUCAGCCUUUCGGGUGCGAUUCUGUGGAGUGUGAGGAGCUUAACACCUUCAUGCUUUGCAUAUUUGUGCUCUUGGGUGUACUUGCCCGUGUGGUUGGUUAACAUCAAUUUUGAUUAUCAUAAAAUGACUGGAGGAAUGUAGCUUCGAUCUCGUAUUGAAGUGUUAUAGCCUUUGGUAGAUGUGAUGAUCGAGAUUGAGGAUUGCAACGGAUACCCUUCGGGGCUACCUGUCUGGUCUCUGAUCGUUGCUCUGGUGCCGAAAGCGUGCUUACGGUUAUCAAAGUCGAUGGUCAAUAGGUUAGAACGGGUUAAAUUCGUUAAGGAUGUUGACGUA